GCGUUUUUCCUACUUUUCCCCCUUCCUGUUCCCAGCUGAAGGGUUUGAUCCGCCAAAGAAGAAAAAAAAAAAAAUGAUCGUAGUAAGUUAACACAAUUUUAAAGAAGUAAGAAUGGGGACUUCUUCUGUUCUUGUAGGGCUGUCUCCACAUGAAUCCUGCUGAGAGACUGACAUGUGAACAGCUGUUACAGCAUCCAUAUUUUGACAGCAUCAGAGAAAUGGGGGCUUCAACCAAAGAGCUUGACCGACCGAUAAGGAAGACCCUAAGACAGAGCCGAAAGCACCUGCCUGGGUUGCAGGGCCUACCUCAGCUGACCAGCAGCAGCUUCCUUCCAGCUUUGGAUAAUAAGAAGUACUACUGGAAUAUGAAGAAACUGAACUACCAAUUUCCAAACAUUUAAGGAGCUUGGAGAUGGAUGAUGAAAAAGGAGUUAAUAAUUUGGAGAAAAUAAAAUGUAUACGUUUGCUUGAAAACAAUCAUGAUGUUGAAAGAACAUUAGGAGAAUACAUAAGUAAUAAACGUUGGGGGGGGGGUUGGGGAGAGGGGGGAGGCCACCUGGCAGAACAGAAAGGGAAAUUCUAGAGGCAGCCUUCCAGGCUUCACGAUGGUGAUCAGAAUGGAAAGGAAACACUUGUUUGGAUUUUCACUUGCAUUUUUGUUGUAUAUAAGUAGCUGAGCUAAAGGACAGAAAUAAAAACUGUACUUACUACCCCUAUCUCUGGCAAAAUUAGAAAUGUAAGAAGGAUUUAUACUUCUAUUGUACCAUAUGCAACAAGUGAAAAAUGGAUUACAAAAUACCCAUAUGUAUUUCUUGCAGAGCUUUUGCCUUGAGUCCUAUCCCCUGCCUUUUCAGACUGUCUCAACAUCAUAUUUAAGAAGAGUUUUAGUUCCUGAAAUCAAAAUGCUUACAAUUCUAUUUCCUGCUUGCUCUAUCUCCUGCUUUUCAUAUUUUAAAACAUUUUUAGAAUAUUUAAGAGUUCAAAAUACUUAAAAUCAUGGAUUAUCGUUAACAGCAUGACUUGCUUGCAUAUUUAAUUAUGUUUAUAGACAUUUCUUACAUAUACUUUUGUCUUUACCUUUAGUAAAGGCUGCACCUUAGUCAUUUUUGCAGGCAAGAUGGGUUUACAUAACCCCUCUCCAGGUGACCCAGUUCCCCUUGCAAACCAUGAUGUGAAGCCUGGCAGCUGACCAAGGCUUGAAUCAAGGAGUAGAACAAGACCUACAGGCUUCACGGGAACCGAGCCUAUCAGCCUGAAAGUAAUUAGUUCUUCAUUCUCUCCAGCUCCGCCUCAGACUUGGAGACAGAUCUACAGGCAGGACUAUCUAUAAUGAUCUGGGUUUUGGAAGAAAUUGCUUGUGGGUUUUUACUCGGACCAUAAAAGACAUUAGGUUGUAAACUGAGAUUGUCCCUGAAAUGCCUUUUAAUACUGUAUGUAUGUAUGUGUGUAUAUAUAUACACACAUACAUAUAAAUACCUACACGUGUGUGUGUGUAUACAUAUACUAUGCUAAGAACUGGUAACAACUAAUAAGAAAGGAGUCCAAAAUGAUACUGAGGAUUCCUAGCUUUGUCUCGUGAUACUUCAAAGGAUGACAUAUAAUUAGCUUUGACUUGGCCUGCCGCUCCUGUUCCAAACGCUUUCUCAUCCUCGUCCCUGAACACAAGGGCAAGAUAAAGCUCAUGUCCACUGCCAGUUUCGGUUGAUGUGCUGCUGCUUCUUCCUCAGUGGUUCCCAGCCAUGCUCUUUGAAACUGUAUUUUACUGUCUCUUCAAAACCUUCCUUCUGUGCUCUGGUAACUUCCUUCCUGACAGCAUUUGACUUUAUUCACUUAGUCCUAAGUAACUCACCAAAUUCGGGAGUGUGUUCAAUAAUUUUCGCUACUCCAGCCAGUUGAAUGAUACCCUGAGGCUCCCGGAUGUAUGUAGCUUCUGGCGAAGAGCUGACAGGGGUUAAAUACUAGUCCCAGCAGUAUCUAAUUCUUCUCACGUGGCUUUGAUUCAAAUGACAAGGAAGGACAUCCCACUUCUGUUCACAUUUUCUGUUUUCCUUUUUAACCCAAAACAAUGCACUUGACAGGCAGAUGACUGUAACUGCCUAAUUCAUUCAGUAGUUUUAUAGAAAACCAUUCAGAAUACAGAAGUAGUUCUAGACUAAAUUGUGGUAAAUCCAUUGCCUCACCACACAAUAAUCAAACAAAUCUGAGAUGGAAGCGUUCAUUUUUUCUAAUGAGUUCUAUUAAAUGUGUACCAAUGCUUAAUUUAACCACAUCUGUAGUCCUUCAUUCAGCAUGGAUUCACCACUGUUUCACAUGAGACUGUUCUACAUCCUAGUCUUGUUUUUUUUUUAAUUUACUGUGUUCUGAUUUUUUAAUUGACAGUGGCAAUUUUAUUUGUAAAUAGUAUAUCAAUUAUGGCAUGUGCUAUUUACAUAAGCUGGCUUCUAAACACAACUAAAAUUCAUUUUUCUACCCAAAUGCUGCAUCAUACAGUGUUUAUUUUAAAAUUAUUUCUAGUCAAGGUUAUAGUUAAGAGCAUAAUGUUCAAACCAAACAUACAGAAAUCUACAAACAAGUUGGCAUAUAAUUAACAGUAAUAGAACCAGGGGCAUUUCAAGGUAAAAAUAAAGAUCUGUUUUUAUCCAUAUAUGAUAUUCUUUGUCACUGCUCUCUAGAUAUAAACUGAAUUUUGCGCUUA